CAUUGGUACAGUGUCAUACGAGCAGUACAUAUUAUACUGUUAUAUGCAUCAGAUGUGCAUCUCUGCUACUGCGGGCAACUAAUCUCCUCAAAAAGCCUUUCCACCGCCAAUAAAGGGGAUCACCGGUGGAAAGACCUACACAUUGCUUGCACAACUUUGCGGGACCUCGGAAAACCUAAGCAAAUAAACAGAAUAUACAGUUUCUUCAUCCUUUGUUACCAGUUGACUUAACUAUUGGCCUUUAAUACAUAAAGGGCAUACAUUAAGACUCUGAUGUUCAACACUAUUUGAGGACAGUGAUAUAUACCUGCAAGAGGAUAGUAUUUAUGAACCAGUUUGGGACAAGGAGAGGGGAGAUAACAAGAGAAACUGGCUAAGAUCUCCAAAGUUCGGACGUAAAGCACAGGACAAAAAAACCUGGAAUGGCGGACAAUACAGAAGGAAGAUUCGAUUGGCUGUUCUUUCUGCUGGUUUGGUGCUGAUUGUAAGCCUCAUCCUGCUGGCCGGGGGCUUUGCCAAAUACUCUGCGAUGGUGAUUCAAAUGGAGGCCUUGGAAGAAAAGAAGCAGAAGGCAUUGGCUAUAGGCUCUUUCCUUAUAUAUAAUGAGGCACACAACAGAUGUGCCGAGGUGCGGAACUCCUCCUCAUCCAUGGACCUUGAGCUCACCACAUCCAGCUGUAACCCAACUUCUCUGUCCCAACUGUUCCGCUGGCUCCCAGGAGCCAGGAUCUUCAAUGUGGAGGUGGAGCUUUGUGUGGGAGUGAGGGGCAGAAUUCAGAGCAAGACUGUGAUAAGACUGGUUCCCUGCGAGUCCCCACUGGCAAAGAGCUGGGUCUGUACUAAUGAAACUCUGCUUGGUCUUAAGGGAGAGAGACUUUACUUCAACUAUGGGAACAACUUUAGUGGCAUUGUCAUGCUUUUUGAUGGCAAUGGGAUCUGGAGUAGGUGGAGAGCCCAAGAUCUUGAUGGAACGCUGCAGAAUGGGGGGGUCUGUGCACAGAUGUGUGAGUAAGUGAAUACCAUGGCUGCAAUUAAUUCAUGAAUUCAGUCCUUACAAAUAUAUUUAACUGUCAUGAAGUGGAACAACUGUCAUGCUUAGUUACAUACAGUCUGCAUCUCGAAGAGUCAUGUGUGAUACAUGAUUGUCCUAUAACAAGGGUUAAAUUGUAAACUUCAAACUGUGCCGUAAGAUAUAUUGUUAAAGCACCAUCUCUCUCCUGGUACCCCUAUCAGUUGAUAUAGAAAGCAGGUUGUUGAUUUUUUGGACCAACAUCUGGGCCAUAAUUAAAAGUAUAAUUUAAAUUUGAAGCUCACCAUCAGACAUGGAGACCAUCAGAUGUUUCCUGCAAUAUUACUAUGAGUUAGUAAACCUUAGAAAAAAUGAAAGGUCACAUUAUUCUGGGAUUUAGUGCUGUACAAUAAGGGUGAAGACACACAGAGCUACUAGUAGCAGCUACUUGU